rnacentral:misc_RNA from 1 species
UCACUAUAUUUGAUAAUUCUACAAGUAAGUCAUUAUUAAUUAAUUUUUUCACUUGUGCCACAUUGGCCAAUUCAUCCAGUUAUUACUUAGCAAAUGAUAUUCUUUUCUUUUCAUGUUAUUGUUUCUAUGUGUAAGAAAAACAUCAUAUUUGAAUUGGGAGUUGGCAAAAUACAUUCUAUGGGAACCACACGUGACUUCAUAAUCAAAAUUUGUCACAUUGCAAUACCGAAAGAGGAGGAGGGGUGGGGAUGGGGGG